AUUGAACGCUGGCGGCAGGCCUAACACAUGCAAGUCGAGCGGAUGAAGGGAGCUUGCUCCUGGAUUCAGCGGCGGACGGGUGAGUAAUGCCUAGGAAUCUGCCUGGCAGUGGGGGAUAACGUCCGGAAACGGGCGCUAAUACCGCAUACGUCCUGAGGUAGAAAGUGGGGGAUCUUCGGACCUCACGCUAUCAGAUGAGCCUAGGUCGGAUUAGCUAGUUGGUGGGGUAAAGGCCUACCAAGGCGACGAUCCGUAACUGGUCUGAGAGGAUGAUCAGUCACACUGGAACUGAGACACGGUCCAGACUCCUACGGGGGGCAGCAGUGGGGAAUAUUGGACAAUGGGCGAAAGCCUGAUCCAGCCAUGCCGCGUGUGUGAAGAAGGUCUUCGGAUUGUAAAGCACUUUAAGUUGGGAGGAAGGGCAGUAAGUUAAUACCUUGCUGUUUUGACGUUACCAACAGAAUAAGCACCGGCUAACUUCGUG
rnacentral:rRNA from 1 species